ACUGGGCGUAAAGGGCACGCAGGCGGUGACUUAAGUGAGAUGUGAAAGCCCCGGGCUUAACCUGGGAAUUGCAUUUCAUACUGGGUCGCUAGAGUACUUUAGGGAGGGGUAGAAUUCCACGUGUAGCGGUGAAAUGCGUAGAGAUGUGGAGGAAUACCGAAGGCGAAGGCAGCCCCUUGGGAAUGUACUGACGCUCAUGUGCGAAAGCGUGGGGAGCAAACAGGAUUAGAUACCCUGGUAGUCCACGCUGUAAACGAUGUCGAUUUGGGGGUUGGGCUUUAAGCUUGGCGCCCGUAGCUAACGUGAUAAAUCGACCGCCUGGGGAGUACGGCCGCAAGGUUAAAACUCAAAUGAAUUGACGGGGGCCCGCACAAGCGGUGGAGCAUGUGGUUUAAUUCGAUGCAACGCGAAGAACCUUACCUACUCUUGACAUCCAGAGAACUUUCCAGAGAUGGAUUGGUGCCUUCGGGAACUCUGAGACAGGUGCUGCAUGGCUGUCGUCAGCUCGUGUCGUGAG
rnacentral:rRNA from 1 species